rnacentral:rRNA from 1 species
GUCCUUUUGAUUUUUAUUUAAGGUCUGACCUGCCCACUGAUAUAUAUUUAAUGGCCGCGGUAUUUUGACCGUGCAAAGGUAGCAUAAUAAUUUGUCUUUUAAUUGAAGGCUUGUAUGAAUGGUUGGACGAGAAAACUACUUUCUUUAUAAUAAAAUAAUUAAUUUUAUUUUUUAGUUAAAAAGCUAAAAUAUUAUUGUAGGACGAGAAGACCCUAUAGAACUUUAUAUUUAUUUUUAUAUUGAUAUUUUUUGUUUAUAAUAUAUUGUAUACUUAUAAAUAUUUUGUUGGGGCGACAAGAAAAUUUAUUUAACUUUUUUUAUUAAUUUCAUUAAUUAAUGUAUAAAUGAUCCUUUAUUAAGGAUAGAUAGAAUUAGUUACCUUAGGGAUAACAGCGUAAUUUUUUUGGAGAGUUCUUAUCGAUAAAGAAGUUUGCGA